GACGAACGCUGGCGGCGUGCUUAACACAUGCAAGUCGAACGGAAAGGCCCCCUUGUGGGGUACUCGAGUGGCGAACGGGUGAGUAACACGUGAGUAACCUACCCUUGACUUUGGGAUAACUUCAGGAAACUGGGGCUAAUACCGGAUAGGAGCUCCUGCUGCAUGGUGGGGGUUGGAAAGUUUCGGCGGUUGGGGAUGGACUCGCGGCUUAUCAGCUUGUUGGUGGGGUAGUGGCUCACCAAGGCUUUGACGGGUAGCCGGCCUGAGAGGGUGACCGGCCACAUUGGGACUGAGAUACGGCCCAGACUCCUACGGGAGGCAGCAGUGGGGAAUAUUGCACAAUGGGCGGAAGCCGGAUGCAGCAACGCCGCGUGCGGGAGGACGGCCUUCGGGUUGUAAACCGCUUUCGCCUGUGACGAAGCGUGAGUGACGGUAAUGGGUAAAGAAGCACCGGCUAACUACGU
rnacentral:rRNA from 1 species